CCCCUAGAUGUUCUGGGCCGCACGCGCGCUACACUGAACAGUUCAACAAGUCUUAACCUUGGCCGAUAGGUCUGGGUAAUCUUUGAACGCUGUUCGUGAUUGGGAUAGACCUUUGCAAUUAUGGGUCUUCAACGAGGAAUUCCUAGUAAACGCAAGUCAUCAGCUUGCAUUGAUUACGUCCCUGCCCUUUGUACACACCGCCCGUCGCACCUACCGAUUGAAUGGUCCGGUGAAAUCUCGGGACGGCGGCUUGGUCGCUUGCGUCCGACUGCUGAAACUUGAUUAAACCAUNUNAUUUAANGGAAGGUGAANUCGUANCA
rnacentral:rRNA from 1 species